GAUAUAAUUACGUUAUUGCUCAGUAUUGGCAGCCGGUUGAGCCAAACCAAAGCCGAAAUAAAUACAUCUCAAAUGUAACGUUAAAUUCUGCUUAGCUUCCGGCUAACAUCAGGGCGCUCGAAUAUAUCCAAAUCUGACAAAUCAGUCAGGGACCAAAGGCGCCUGGAACAACAGCAUCACGUUAACCGUGAUAUAUUUUCACCAUAACUCGAUUAGCCAAUGUUUUAGAUUCCUCAAAGGAAAUGUCUGGUCAGUAUAUUAUGCAGCCGGCCAGCUAAGCUAGUUUGCUAACACCCCAAUGCUAGCGAUAGCUAGCUAACUUCAUACGGAGCUAAGCGCUUGCUCCACUGCUCGCUACCAAGGCAACUAACCGAACUACAUCUACCUGUAGCAACAUGCGGCGGCUAACGGCAACUGUUAAACAAAACAACCCUUAAAUAGCACCACAAACAACGAAGCGACUUUCAGCUCCUACAUUACAAGAUGUAGUAACAGAGCUAAAUAACUUUCACAAAGUUAAUGGUAAGUAAACACGCGUUUAGCCUCCUAGCUAGCCGUAGAAAAAGCUCGAAAAGUUCCGCGCAGCUGCGAAAACACAGGAUUGCUUAGCAUGAACAAGGGAACUCCACUCACCCGUCAGCUAGCCUGCUCAUAUCAGCUGUUGCCCUGCCGGUUCUUAACGACAGCGAUGACUCCAAGAGUAAUGAAUCCCCUCUUGAACGUCUAACUAGCGGGCGUGAAAAAGAAUUAUUGGAGCAACGACACGUUAGCAAUGUGUACAGCUCUCGUACUAGCAACCGACUGGCUAGCAUCGCUGUCCAACGCCGACCUCGGCGGCUUGAAUGCGCUUCUUUAUGGUUGCGACGGCCACUUGGUGCUUUGUGGAGAUAUCGCCAAACUGGGAGUGAGCGGGCAGCACUCGAACCAGCUGGAAGACAAAACACACGCCCAAGACAAAGACGACAUAUGUGACAGCAUAUGUGAUGGAUCUGGCCAAGCCUCAAUGCAACAGCGUGCGGUUGGAAAAGAGAGCGAGCUGGACAGGAUGGUACAAAAAUAGGUAGCAUGAUAAUGCAGAAAGUUAGCACUCACACACUUCACAAACUCAGCAUGUGACCUAAUAAAAGAACAAUGGAAAUUUGAACAUGAACAUUGAUUUAUACUGUUUCAUUUUGGAGGCUGGAAUCUAUGCGGUGUAAAAGACUGUUGAGAGAAGAUUCAUGUGGUAUUUUUUGUAACUAUAAUUUGGGCUGUAUAUAUAAAUGUAUGUAUGAUGAAAUAGUUAAGAUUUAAACAAAGUCAUUUAGAGUGGUUUGAUGUAAACAUCUAGAGAAAACAAUCAUUCUCAGUGGUGAUGACACCCAACAUCUAGCCUCUAAAACCUACCUUGCAGAUAGUUACUAAAUGGUUUCAAUGCAUUGCCUGGUGCCUAGGAUGUUGUUUUUAAUCAUUUCGUGAGAAGGUUUUGGCCUAAAACAUAUUGUUGCUGUCCAAUGAAAAACAAGUAUCUCCAAAAGUAUUAACUUUACAGGAGAAGGCAAAAACUCUCUUACCUUUUAAUGUAAGUCAGUAUAAAGAGACUUUGUUCUAAGUGAUUGUAGAGCAUUUCUAUUGGUGCAUUCAUCAUGAAAUUCUUACACAAUGUAAAGGACAGCUGGUAUGUUGAAAUGGUGUAGAAAACUAAAAAUCAACCAAAGUGGAGAUGGUUUUCAUUGGACAGCAACAAAACUACAGUCCUGUCCUCCACUGUUUUACCAACAUCACAUAUAAAGAGUCAUGUAAGCUCACAGGUAAUUUUGUACAGUAAAAAUUUAUAAUAUAUCCUAUACAGAGGAAAUGGAUAUGUUUCUCUACCAUGAUCCAUUUAACUUCAAAGCACUCUGAAUAGCUUUACAUCUCAACAUUUGAAUCAUAUGGACAUUUUGAAAACUGGGUGAAAUUCUCCUUUAGCUAUCAUUACACCAGUUGCUUUACUCUUGGUUCAGUCAGAUUGGAAGACGUCUGCCACUCACUUCGGCACAGGAGUUGCACAGCUAAGCAGACAAAUUAGCUGGAGAGGACUUGCGGUCACCCUCUUUUCUGCUAUAUGAGAGACUCAAAUUCAAUGCAAAAGACACAAAAUCAAAAAUGCCACAUGUCCAUUCAUCCCCACCUUUUUAUCAACUCUCCCUUCAGAACAAAAAGACUGGGGUAUCUCAAAACAUGAAGUUCCCUUUUCCUAAAUUAUGCGUGCUGUAAAACCCCACAAAUACUCAACAUCUUUGUACAGUCUCAUCUUAUUACAUUAUGCAAUCACUGCAUUUCCUUAAUAUACUGAUAACAUUCUGUUUGUAGGUCAUUGGUGUGUGUUCUCUUGAUGUGAUGUCAUGGCUUCGGCUUUGGCUCAAAGGAGAGCAUUAAAGCCAUUUCACAAUCAAUUCAAUUCAGUUCAGCUACACUCAGCCUAGCUCAUUUUAACUCACUCAGUUCAGUACAAUUCAACUCAAUUCAGUUUGGUUCAGUUUAGUUUAACUUAACAAAAUUCAUCUCAUCUUAGGUCAGUUUAGUUCAAGUAAUGUCACCUCAAGUCAGGUUUGUUUAAUUCACCUCAUCUAUGCAAGUCAGCUCAGCUCAACUCCAUUCAGUUUAGUUCAAUUCAGCUCAGUUCAAUUCAGUUCAGUUUAGUUCAACUCGUAUCAACUUAAUUCAGUUCUGGUUAAUUCAACUCAUCUCAAAUCAGAUCUGUUCAGUUUGAUUUAUUUCAACUGUGCAUGUCAACUCAACACUUUAGUUUGGUUCAGUUCAGUUUAGUUCAGGUCAGCUCAGCUCAGUCAACUCAAUUCAGUUUAGUUUAACUCAUCUUAACUCAACUUAAGUCAACUCUGUUCAAUUCAGUUCAGUUCAACUGAACUUAUGUCAGUUCAGUUUAGUUCAACUCAUCUCAGCUUAACUCAAUUCAGUUAAGUUAGUGCAACUCAACUCAACUCACUUCAGUUUGGUUCAACACAACUCAACUUCACUCACUUCAUCUUCAUUAUCAUUACCGUAUUGCACAUAGUGCAAUACUGGGCUGUGAAGAACGAACAAUAGGUACAAAGAGUCUUUUUCCAAAACUAUGUAUAUUACAGAAUAUAACAUUGUGAAACUGUGCUAUUUGAGUCAUAGUAUGCAUCUGUUGACACAGGAAUGUGUACACUGUAUCAUCAAUGAACCACUGUAUGUUCAAUGAACACAAGGUACUUUUGAAACUAUGCUUUAAUAUUUUUGAUUUGUGUAGUUCCUUUCAGGUUACGUACAUGCUGCAGUGUGCCUGAAAGAGAAUCAGCCUCAGCCAGCGUUCUCAACAGCAUCAAAGCUGCUGCCAGCAGCACUUGUGUAUGUAAAACCUCCAUCGUCUCUCUCCAUGGACUGCCAGAGUCAAUAACCGAGCAACUCUGAGAAUGAUGUUGCUGCUUUGCAGGGAUCAGAGCCACUGUCAAAUAUAAACUUUAUGACAAAAAAUCAGUGAGGGAUCAUGUUUUGAAGAGCUGCCUUUCUAGCAGGAAUCAAAUACCAACCAUCUAAAGAAGAAAACGAGAGAGAUUCUCUCUCUGAGCAACUGAGUCACUCAGUGGAUCCCAAGAGUUCCACUGGUUCUUUUAUUCUUGUAUUCUCUCAGAUGUGCUCCUCAAGGGGCCUGUUCACCUUCAUGACCUUCAAACCACUUUUAUAGACUUUGCUUGCACAUGUUAAAGCCAAAGUAGGCAGAUAGUGCAAAAUCUGUCAAGUAAUUAAUAUAAACACACAUAAUAUCAUUCAUGUAAUAUCAGUAUCUAUAUAUUCAUAACCUCUUAAACUCUAAGGGCCUGCAAUUGGGCCCAAACUUCACUCUCAUAACUGGUUACAUAGUAGUCUAAUAGCAGUUACUAAGUAAUAUGUGGUAGUUAAUAUAUAAUAAAACACUAAUAACUGAAUAAUAAGCGUAAGGUUCAAAAGGCAAGUGAUCGUGCACACUUUAAUAGGCUGGUGCACUUGCUAUGUAUUUUUUUCUUCUUUGUAAUUUGAAAUUGUUCUGUUAUUUCAUUUGUACUUUUUAUUUAAGCACUUUUCCCAUUUACUUUUCAUUUCAUUUAUGCAUUCUAAUGCUUUGCUUAUCUUCCUGUGCAACCUUGAGAUUUUACAAAUAAAGAGUAUUAUUUUGGAAAUUUAUG
ensembl:lncRNA